AUGCCUGAGUGGUUUGUGAAUCAGUUUGGAGGGAAGAUCUCGAGAUCCAUCAAACUACAAACCCCCAAUGGUAACAUAUAUGAUGUUGCAGUUACUGAGAAUAUGAAUCGAACAAUGCUGAAAUCUGGUUGGGCAUCAUUUGUUGAUGCCAAUCAAAUAGAAGAAAAUUAUACCUUGAUGUUUCGGUACCUUGGAAACGCCCUCUUUGAGGUUAUAAUAUUUGAUUCCAAUGGUAAGGAGAAAGUCUUAUGCUGUGCCGGGAUGAAAGCAGCCUCUGAUGUUAAUGAACCAAGCAGUCGCCAUGUUGAUAAUUCGAGCAGUUCUCAUGAUGGUACUACUCAGUCAUCAGCAGAUGAAUGUUCAGAUUCAGAUGGAAGCCAGAAGGAAAGCUCGUACUGUUACAGAAAAUCAGCAAAGAUGCCUGCAAUGUCUAAUUCUUCUGAGGAAAUCUCAGGUUAA
rnacentral:rRNA from 1 species